GUCGACGGCAGCACAGUAAGAGCUUGCUCUUAUGGGUGGCGAGUGGCGGACGGGUGAGGAAUACAUCGGAAUCUACCUUUUCGUGGGGGAUAACGUAGGGAAACUUACGCUAAUACCGCAUACGACCUUCGGGUGAAAGCAGGGGACCUUCGGGCCUUGCGCGGAUAGAUGAGCCGAUGUCGGAUUAGCUAGUUGGCGGGGUAAAGGCCCACCAAGGCGACGAUCCGUAGCUGGUCUGAGAGGAUGAUCAGCCACACUGGAACUGAGACACGGUCCAGACUCCUACGGGAGGCAGCAGUGGGGAAUAUUGGACAAUGGGCGCAAGCCUGAUCCAGCCAUACCGCGUGGGUGAAGAAGGCCUUCGGGUUGUAAAGCCCUUUUGUUGGGAAAGAAAAGCAGUCGAUUAAUACUCGGUUGUUCUGACGGUACCCAAAGAAUAAGCACCGGCUAACUUCGUGCCAGCAGCCGCGGUAAUACGAAGGGUGCAAGCGUUACUCGGAAUUACUGGGCGUAAAGCGUGCGUAGGUGGUUGUUUAAGUCUGUUGUGAAAGCCCUGGGCUCAACCUGGGAAUUGCAGUGGAUACUGGGCGACUAGAGUGUGGUAGAGGGUAGUGGAAUUCCCGGUGUAGCAGUGAAAUGCGUAGAGAUCGGGAGGAACAUCCAUGGCGAAGGCAGCUACCUGGACCAACACUGACACUGAGGCACGAGAGCGUGGGGAGCAAACAGGAUUAUAUACCCUGGUAGUCCACGCCCUAAACGAUGCGAACUGGAUGUUGGGUGCAAUUUGGCACGCAGUAUCGAAGCUAA
rnacentral:rRNA from 1 species